rnacentral:rRNA from 2 species
AACGAACGCUGGCGGCAGGCCUAACACAUGCAAGUCGAACGCCCCUUCGGGGGAGUGGCAGACGGGUGAGUAACGCGUGGGAACCUACCUAGUGGUACGGAAUAACUCAGGGAAACUUGAGCUAAUACCGUAUACGCCCUUCGGGGGAAAGAUUUAUCGCCAUUAGAUGGGCCCGCGUCUGAUUAGCUAGUUGGUGAGGUAAUGGCUCACCAAGGCGACGAUCAGUAGCUGGUCUUAGAGGAUGAUCAGCCACACUGGGACUGAGACACGGCCCAGACUCCUACGGGAGGCAGCAGUGGGGAAUAUUGGACAAUGGGGGCAACCCUGAUCCAGCCAUGCCGCGUGAGUGAUGAAGGCCCUAGGGUUGUAAAGCUCUUUUGGCAGGGACGAUAAUGACGGUACCUGCAGAAUAAGCCCCGGCUAACUUCG